GCUGUUAAGGGUUCGUAGUUGAAUUGAGGGCGUCCAGGUCUGUCGGUUCAGUCCCCCUCUGCUUCGUGCAGGCGGCGACUCCCGCUCCUGACGCUCGUGAACGACUGACACAAGUACCCGGGGUGUUUUUUCCUCUCAACAUCUCUUCGCGUUCUAUGCACGCAGUGUAAGAGGAUGCCCGUGUUUUUACUGUGACUAAAAAAGCGCGACCAAAGCAGUCAAGCGACGUGAAUUUCAAGCAUGGGAUAACAACGAAGCAACCUACGGAUUUUCCGUUUCGGCUUUUGUUGGUUUUAGUAUCUGUGGGAGAUUAUGGUCUGGCAUGACAAGCGGUUCGCGAGCCUCUUUGUGGGGUUUCGCUCGCCUUCCGCCCCUUGCUUUGCCCCCUCGCGGGGGUGCUUGGGAUCCGGUUUGCUUGGCUAGGAAUGAAGGAGGGUUGUUCGGGGGAGAACGUACUUGAGCGUGAGAGGUGAAUUCUUAGACCGCUCAAAGACGAACUACAGCGAAGGCAUUCUCCAAGGGUACCUUCAUCAUCAAGAACCAAAGUG
rnacentral:rRNA from 1 species